rnacentral:lncRNA from 1 species
GUGCCAUUAGACAAGCUGCAAGCAACUGCAAGUUAUGGGAACCGUGCCUUGUUGUACUUAGCAUGCUAUUUGUACCUCUCUAUAUAAACGGCUGUUCGCAGUUAUUAAAUGGCUUGGCUACUAGUAACCAUAUUGGUGUGUGGCCUCGCCCAUGCCGUGCCUUGGCUGAAUAUUGCUCUCCAGGGGACUCUGAACAGUCGCUCGGCAACAAGUGGCGCCUGAACAGCAAAGGAGCCUUGGAGUAAGAGGGAGCUGAGGCAGCGGUCGCAGACGGUUGGCGCCGGACAAACUGCAGUGCUGUAAGUGUCACAGUAGCUGAAAGCGGGCGCCGGACAAGAUGCAGGUGUCGCGGUAGCUGGAAGCGGGCGCCGGACAAGCCAAAGUGCUAUCCCCGUGGGACCUUGACUGAACGCAGAAAGGCUGAUAGCUGAUCUUAACCAUUUAUGUUUUGUGACAGAAAUACUGAAGGCUUGAUCAUGCUAGAAUACUGAAUAUACCUCUUGAUAACAUAUUUUGGUUACAAUAGUGUUAUGUUUUGGGUUGUUGUGAGUGUGGGUGGUGAUUGAUAUCAGUCCUUGGAUCUGUUAAACUUCACAUUUGGGUUCAGAGUUUUUACAGGUCAUCCUGGCUUACUGAUAUUCACAGUGAUACCAUUCCUUUUGAUCCCUUCUUUCACCCCUUUUUAUCAAACUGAUUAUGAUUUGCAUGUAACUCCUCCACAGUGUUUCUAAAUUCCUAACAAAUUGGGAAAUGAACCAAGGGACCCAUCUGAUAUCUUUUAGAUGUGGUCACAAAACAAAUCUAUCAUAAAACCCUUUGCACUGAUGCUUUUCAGUGUCACACCAGUCCAGGAGUUCCAUCCAGAACAUGGUUGUUGAAGUUUUGAUAAGAGAUAUGUAUGUUUCUAGGAUUUACCCCUCUUAUGGUUUAUACUGUGGGGUAUCCUACACACACUGUCCUGUGAAAAAUUCUGUAGACUAUAACAAUACUUGAACUUGCCAAACUAGUAUCUAUAUCUCUCAGCAUUUGAAUUGCUUUGGAAAUGCUCAAGCAGAAAAUUCUCAAGACACUAAAUCAUCUUUGAGAACAUUACAUGGCAAGUCCACAUAUUGCCAAAUUGGACUAGAUAUGCUUUUGGUGAAUUAACUGAAGUGUAAUAUGUAUGGCUAUUCAUAAACACCAGAACCUCCACUGAAGAAUUCCCAUCUGGAUCCUGGCUUACAAUGGGACUUCCUGGGUGGAGAAAGCAGCUGACACAAAUAUCUCAAUUUGUUUUACUUGUUUAUUUAUUUAAAUGUAUGGUUAUUGUCAAAUGUAUGGUUGUCUCUUUUCACUUUCUACCUUUUAUUUGCUAUGUAACAUUUGUGUCACCACUCCUGAAGAGUCACCGGAUAGUGUCUUUGGCAAAUUGAAUGACUCUAAUUUUUGUCUAAAAAUUCAAUGAUAAUGGUAAAGUUGUUAAACAAAUUGCCCACGGGAUACGGAAAAUAGCCCAUGUUCCUGUCCAAACCUGGAAAGGCCUAGACUUCGACUUCUUUUCCUGGCUCCCAGGUGCCCCAUGGGUCAAACGUAUCCUAUUUUAUCUAUUGUGUGCUGUUGCAACUCUUAUGUUUGUACCUUGUACCAUUCCAUGUUUUAUUCAACUUAUACAACGUGUUGUAUCCUCCAUGUACUUUGUAACCACUUCUACUGAUGGACAAAUCCAACAGAUCAGGGCAACAGUUGUAACCAAGCCCAAGAAAUCUUAUGUAGUAAUGGUAUAAUAAUUAACUUUGCCUUCCCCCCCCCGCCUCUUUCCCUCAUGUUUGUUUGUUUGUUUUUCCCUUUCCUUUUUUUUCCUCUUUCUUACUACUUUUCUUCUCCUCACCAUCGUGAAAGGUCAACUAUGCUUCAGUUUCAAGCAACCUUUGAGCCACAGGGUGGUGUGAGAACCCUUCUUUGUCUUCUGUCUCAAAGCUUGCUUCCUGAGGUAUUUCUUGUGAUAAGACUCUAACUGAUUUAUGGAGGUGGCAAAUGAUGGGUGCUACCGUGUGACAAUCAACAUCACUUUGACAUUUGAAAGCACCUUCCUCCAGAGCUACUUGCCUCCAGAAGACAGUGCUCAGGAGUGGUUACUGGCGGAAGAUCUGGCCUAAUAGCCCCAGCUUGGUGUGGGAAAAAAUUGGGGAACGAUACCAUCAUGCCCUGUGAAAAACAGGAUGCAGAUGGGCAUCCCUGCUUCCUCUUAUCUGCUGGCAAGGCCUGGAAGAUGAUAACAAAGGAAUUUCUGCUGAGAUCCCAGAGCCAGUAGCUGCCACUCCAAGGAGAGCUGACUCAACCACUUCGGAUUCGAGCUGUCACUCCAAAGAGAGCUGACUCGACCACUUUGGACUUAUUUAUAAGUUUGUACUGCCAUCGUAAUCGUCGUUGUCACCAUGUCAUCAAUGGAACAACACCUGACGACCCACCACUACUGAAGAUCAAUGACUGAACUACGAACCACCUUGGACCAUGGUGGUGACUAUCUCCCUCUUCCUUCCUAUAAGGACUCCUUGCUUCUAUUUCCUAUCUUUUCUAUCGCCCUUCUCCCCUUCCCCAUCUCCCUGAAUAACUAGGAUUUGUAAUAAACUGGUCGGACC